CUGAGCAGCAGUAUGGUAUUUUAGUAAUUAAUCUUAAAUUGUUUUCAUGUGUUAUAGGAAAGACUUGGAACAUCUCAGUGGAAAAACUGACAUGAACAGUCUUCGAAAUGGUAGCUCAUACUGGGAUAUGUAGUUAAAAAAAAAAAAAGAAAAAGACUGCUACCCGUAAUCAAUUCAUGAGCCGCUUUCUACUUUCAAUAUCAAAUCAAACCUGGUAAAGCAGAAUUGCAUUUUUACAGUCACAAUAGUGUAUUUGGAAUGAUGCAAUAUACUUUUACUUCAUUGUUUAAUUUACAAGAAAAAGCAUUCAUUUAAGUGCUUUUCGUGCAGAUCAAAAGACAAAUGAACAUCAGCCUCUCUUUCCAGGAAAUGCCCACAGAUUCGUCCCUUGUCAGGAAGUCUCGCCAGUGCGCCUCCUUGAGCUCCCACUUCUCCCAUCAGUUCUCAUCAACUUUAAGCGGAGUUCACCAUCACUGGCCAUCUCACGCACUGCAGAGCUUAGUGAAAGCACUAGGCUGCCUUCACUUCAGGGAACACCCAAAAGCUGCUUUCCGGAAGGCGAACAGUUUAAUUCAAGACCCUUGUCAUCUCCCUUCUGGAAAACGGUACCAGAACACUGGCGCCCGCACCAGUUGAUUGUCAUUGACAGAUUCGACAUGAAGGCUAUAAGGUUGUUCGGCAGUCACUUAUAUGAAUAAAUAUUAUACAUAAAUAGAAUUAAUGUUUGUGGAAUUGAUCAAAAUCCCAGGAUGAGAUCCAGAGAAGACCAGGUUUCUGCUUCAACAGUGAUUGUAAUUUGAGUGCCCCAAUGUCCUGCUGCAGCUGGCUCAGUGUUGAAGAGAACAGACCCUCUGUGUUUGUUGGUGUCUUUGCCACCAUUGUUUAUAUGACAUCAUGUACAGUGAACAUCAGAAACCUACACGCCUUCACUGAAAUGUCAGCUUUUGUUGAUGAAAAGGCAGAAAUCCAGACAAGUCACGUCAGACAUCUGAUUUCACUUCAAGAAGAUCUAAUAACCAACGCUGUUUAGGUGAGAAACAAAGUAACAUUGUUAGGAAAAAAUAUUUAAAAACUUCCCUUGCCUUGGCUUUUAAAGUGUGUACGACAAAUUUAAUAUAAUAUAUAUCUCUCUAUUAUAAAAAAAAAUC